UACGUAGGGGGCAAGCGUUAUCCGGAUUUACUGGGUGUAAAGGGAGCGUAGACGGCGAUGCAAGUCUGAAGUGAAAGGCGGGGGCCCAACCCCCGGACUGCUUUGGAAACUGUAUAGCUGGAGUGCAGGAGAGGUAAGUGGAAUUCCUAGUGUAGCGGUGAAAUGCGUAGAUAUUAGGAGGAACACCAGUGGCGAAGGCGGCUUACUGGACUGUAACUGACGCUGAGGCUCGAAAGCGUGGGGAGCAAACAGG
rnacentral:rRNA from 1 species